UACGUAGGGUCCGAGCGUUGUCCGGAAUUACUGGGCGUAAAGCGCGCGCAGGCGGCCCGCGAGGUGUCACGUGAAAGCCCCGGGCUCAACCCGGGAGGGUCGUGGCAAACCGGCGGCUUGAGGCCGGUAGAGGUGGGUGGAACUCCUGGUGGAGUGGUGAAAUGCGUAGAGAUCAGGAAGAACACCCGUGGCGAAGGCGGCCCACUGGGCCGGUACUGACGCUGGAGGCGCG
rnacentral:rRNA from 1 species